AUGAACGCUGGCGGCGUGCCUCAUACAUGCAAGUCGAACGGGGAGUAGCAAUACUCUUAGUGGCGAACGGGUGAGUAACGCGUUGGUACCUGCCCCGAAGCGGGGGAUAACGGACCGAAAGGUCCGCUAAUACCCCAUGUGCUCGGUAACGAGUAAAGGUGAAAACCACUUUGGGAGGGGCCUGCGUCCCAUCAGCUAGUUGGUAAGGUAACGGCUUACCAAGGCGAUGACGGGUAGGGGACCUGAGAGGGUGGCCCCCCACAAUGGAACUGAAACACGGUCCAUACACCUACGGGUGGCAGCAGUAGGGAAUAUUGGUAAUGGGCGCAAGCCUGAACCAGCAACGCCGCGUGUGCGAUGACGGCCUUCGGGUUGUAAAGCACUUUUGACUGGGACGAGGAAGGACGGUACCGGUCGAAUCAGCCUCGGCUAACUACGUG
rnacentral:rRNA from 1 species